ACCUACGGGGGGCAGCAGUGGGGAAUAUUGCACAAUGGGGGAAACCCUGAUGCAGCGACGCCGCGUGAGUGAAGAAGUAUUUCGGUAUGUAAAGCUCUAUCAGCAGGGAAGAAAAUGACGGUACCUGAUUAAGAAGCCCCGGCUAACUACGUGCCAGCAGCCGCGGUAAUACGUAGGGGGCAAGCGUUAUCCGGAUUUACUGGGUGUAAAGGGAGCGUAGACGGCGGCACAAGUCUGGAGUGAAAUGCCGGGGCUUAACCCCGGAACUGCUUUGGAAACUGUGCAGCCAGAGUGCAGGAGAGGUA
rnacentral:rRNA from 1 species